CAUAGCCACGGUAAUACAGAGGGUGCGAGCGUUAAUCGGAUUUACUGGGCGUAAAGCGUGCGUAGGCGGCUUUUUAAGUCGGAUGUGAAAUCCCUGAGCUUAACUUAGGAAUUGCAUUCGAUACUGGGAAGCUAGAGUAUGGGAGAGGAUGGUAGAAUUCCAGGUGUAGCGGUGAAAUGCGUAGAGAUCUGGAGGAAUACCGAUGGCGAAGGCAGCCAUCUGGCCUAAUACUGACGCUGAGGUACGAAAGCAUGGGGAGCAAACAGGAUUAGAUACCCCAGUAGUCCCUGUCUCUUAUACA
rnacentral:rRNA from 1 species